GAUGAAGAACGUAGCGAAAUGCGAUAAGUAAUGUGAAUUGCAGAAUUCAGUGAAUCAUCGAAUCUUUGAACGCACAUUGCGCCCGCCAGAACUCUGGCGGGCAUGCCUGUUCGAGCGUCAUUUCAACCAUCAAGCCCCCAGGGGCUUGUGCUGGGGCCCUGCGGCUGCCCGCAGGCCCUGAAAACCAGUGGCGGGCUCGCUAGUCACACCGAGCGCAGUAGCACAUCUCGCUCAGGGCGUGCGGCGGGCUCCUGCCGUGAAACCCCCCACUGUAACCCCAAAGGUUGACCUCGGAUCAGGUAGGAAUACCCGCUGAACUUAAGCAUAUCAAUAAGCGGAGGA
rnacentral:misc_RNA from 1 species